rnacentral:misc_RNA from 1 species
AAGAGUUGCAAAACUCCCACAAACCAUCGCGAACGUUACCCGGACGUCGUUGCUUCGGCGGGCUCGCCCGCCGGGGGACGCUACCCAACCAUUGCAGUCAUUGGCCUCUCUGAGUAUGAUUUUAAAUAAGUCA